AUUGAGAUGACCGAAAUAAAGUAAUAAACUGUAAAUUUAUAUAUGAAUAUAUAAUUAUUCUCUCAAUA
rnacentral:tRNA from 1 species